AUACGUAGGGAGCGAGCGUUGUCCGGAAUUACUGGGCGUAAAGGGCGCGUAGGCGGCGCUUCAAGUCGUCUGUCAAAUGGGAGGGCUUAACCCUUUUUCGCAGACGAAACUGGAGAGCUUGAGAAGCAGAGAGGCAAACAGAAUUCCUGGUGUAGCGGUGAAAUGCGUAGAUAUCAGGAAGAAUACCAGUGGCGAAGGCGGUUUGCUGGCUGCAUACUGACGCUGAAGCGCGAAAGCCAGGGGAGCAAACGGGAUUAGAUACCCCGGUAGUCCUGGCAGUAAACGAUGUAUGCUGGGUGUGAGACUAGCGAUAGUUUCGUGCCGAAGUUAACGCGAUAAGCAUACCGCCUGGGGAGUACGGUCGCAAGAUUGAAACUCAAAUGAAUUGGCGGG
rnacentral:rRNA from 1 species